AGCUCUACAGUGAGUCAAAGAACAGCAUUUCUGUAGGAGGGAGCAACGUGGGAGCAACUCUGGUUUUGCCAUGACAGAUUUCUGUGUUGCAUGGGAUGAGUGUUACAUCGGUGAUAGCAGCACAGCACUGCAGGAUCUGAGCUCUGCAUGACACCAGAUCCUUCCAGUCUGAUCCUCUCUUCACUCCAGGGGACUUUUCAGGUGCCAAGGAAAGAAGGUUCCCUACAUAAAGUCCAGCAAUUCUCAGGACUCCCAGGAGCACCACAGGAAGGAAGAGGGGUUUGGACCCAUUUCCAAGUAGCCCAUAGCCAUAUGCUGUGAGUUGAAACCUUGCAGAGCUCGGUACCAGCUUUGGGCUUUGGAUAUUUUGUUGGAUGGGACUAUGGACAGCCUGGUCUAGUGAAUGGCAACCCUGCCUAUGGUGCAGGGGUUUGGCGCUUGGUGACCUUUAAAGUUCCUUACAACCCAAACUAUUCUAUGGUUCGAUGGUUCCAUGAUUCUAUGAGUCUAUGCUAGAGCAAGAACAAGCUCCCCAGGAGUUGGUAUGAGACAAACAAGAAAACCCUAUGCCAGCAAAUAGAGGCACAUCCCCUGCUGCCGACAGCGUGGGAGCAAGCAGACGCUGGAGGCUCGCCAGGGCUGCUCACACAGUCUGGGUGGUUUCCAGCAGAGCCCUUGCAUCCCUUGCAUAGCUGCUGGUUUCUGUUCCCUUGAAAAUUGCUCUGGCAUUCCAUAGCCACUCCGGCACUGUACAGAAGCAUUAGCUCCCUCUCGUGGGCUUAGAUCAGCUCUCAGUGUUGGAAUCCAUCCAGUAUUUCCCAGGAAAGUGAUUUUCUUCUGUUUUUCUUUUCUUUCUUUCUUUCUUUUUUUUCUUUCUUUCUCUUUUUUUUUUUUUUUUUUGACACCUAUCACUCUGAAUAUUCACUAAUGCAAAACUGAUUGACGUUUUGUGGGAAUGUGUUGACUUCCGUCAAGCUUCCUUUCAAUAAGUACAGGGAGUUUCAUUUCUCCCCAUAUUUUUGCUGCCAUUAUUUUUAUUUUGUCAGUGAUUCAAAGCAACUAAUUUGGGGAAUCACCCCUAAGUGGACAGUUCUCUACUAACUCAAGUCGACGCAUCCAGAGUUGAGAUACACCAAUGAAGGCCAUGGUGUGGCUUCCCAAAGGUUAUUUCACUUCUUACUGGUUGAGAGGUGGUGGAUUCACUGUUCCUGUACGUGUUCAGGAAACAUGUAGAUGUGGCACUGAGGAACAUGGGUUAGUAGGCAUUUUGGUGAUUGGUUGGCAGUGGGACUAGGUGAUCUUGGAGGCAUUUUCUUAAUGAUUCUAUGACUCUAUGUUCUGUGAAGUCAAAAGUGAAGAAACAACAUGAAAAUAAAAAUUAAAACAGCUGGUUUCAUUCUGUACAACAAAUAAAAAUGUGACUUGACGCCAGACGGUGCCUG
ensembl:lncRNA